UACGAAGGGGGCUAGCGUUGCUCGGAAUUACUGGGCGUAAAGCGCACGUAGGCGGGUUCUUAAGUCGGUGGUGAAAUCCUGGAGCUCAACUCCAGAACUGCCUUCGAAACUGGGAAUCUUGAGUCCGGGAGAGGUGAGUGGAACUGCGAGUGUAGAGGUGAAAUUCGUAGAUAUUCGCAAGAACACCAGUGGCGAAGGCGGCUCACUGGCCCGGUACUGACGCUGAGGUGCGAAAGCGUGGGGGAGCAAACAGG
rnacentral:rRNA from 1 species